UUGAACGCUGGCGGCAGGCCUAACCCAUGCCAGUCGAGCGGAUGAAGGGAGCUUGCUCCUGGCUUCAGCGGCGGACGGGUGAGUAAUGCCUAGGAAUCUGCCUGGUAGUGGGGGAUAACGUCCGGAAACGGGCGCUAAUACCGCAUACGUCCUGAGGGAGAAAGUGGGGGAUCUUCGGACCUCACGCUAUCAGAUGAGCCUAGGUCGGAUUAGCUAGUUGGUGGGGUAAAGGCCUACCAAGGCGACGAUCCGUAACUGGUCUGAGAGGAUGAUCAGUCACACUGGAACUGAGACACGGUCCAGACUCCUACGGGAGGCAGCAGUGGGGAAUAUUGGACAAUGGGCGAAAGCCUGAUCCAGCCAUGCCGCGUGUGUGAAGAAGGUCUUCGGAUUGUAAAGCACUUUAAGUUGGGAGGAAGGGCAGUAAGUUAAUACCUUGCUGUUUUGACGUUACCAACAGAAUAAGCACCGGCUAACUUCGUG
rnacentral:rRNA from 1 species